AUUGAACGCUGGCGGCAGGCCUAACACAUGCAAGUCGAGCGGAUGAAGGGAGCUUGCUCCUGGAUUCAGCGGCGGACGGGUGAGUAAUGCCUAGGAAUCUGCCUGGUAGUGGGGGAUAACGUCCGGAAACGGGCGCUAAUACCGCAUACGUCCUGAGGGAGAAAGUGGGGGAUCUUCGGACCUCACGCUAUCAGAUGAGCCUAGGUCGGAUUAGCUAGUUGGUGGGGUAAAGGCCUACCAAGGCGACGAUCCGUAACUGGUCUGAGAGGAUGAUCAGUCACACUGGAACUGAGACACGGUCCAGACUCCUACGGGAGGCAGCAGUGGGGAAUAUUGGACAAUGGGCGAAAGCCUGAUCCAGCCAUGCCGCGUGUGUGAAGAAGGUCUUCGGAUUGUAAAGCACUUUAAGUUGGGAGGGGGGGCAGUAAGUUAAUACCUUGCUGUUUUGACGUUACCAACAGAAUAAGCACCGGCUAACUUCGUG
rnacentral:rRNA from 1 species